rnacentral:rRNA from 1 species
UACGGGGGGGGCAAGCGUUGUUCGGAAUUACUGGGCGUAAAGGGCUCGUAGGUGGCCAACUAAGUCAGACGUGAAAUCCCUCGGCUUAACCGGGGAACUGCGUCUGAUACUGGAUGGCUUGAGUUCGGGAGAGGGAUGCGGAAUUCCAGGUGUAGCGGUGAAAUGCGUAGAUAUCUGGAGGAAUACCGGUGGCGAAGGCGGCAUCCUGGACCGGCAUUGACGCUGAGGAGCGAAAGCUAGGGGGAGCAAACGGGG